CACCUCUUAUUUUUUUAUAUAUUAUUAUUGGGCUUCGUGUAGGUAUCCUCAAUUCGCGAAAAUUCGACAGUUGUCCGGAUCUGUGAAUUUCCGGCCAGACAGACCAGCUACCGGAAAAGUCUCCGAAUUGGAUCGAGGUUUUGGCUACCCCACCAUUGUCAGGCAUCCCGAGCGCGUUCCCGAAGUCGGAAUCGGCAAAGGUGAGCCGGGACAGCCUUCUUCCUCCGCCCAGCCGCCACAGUGAUUGCCGUCAAGUCUGCCACAGGAGGAUAUUUUAUUCUGGGUUAACCUGCUUUUCUACCUCGCAGGUUGUUUAUCAAUAUUUGUGUAAUUUUAUUUACUCCUAGAAUUUCCGCAUGUGUUAGCAGUAAUUAUUUGAAUUUGGUCUGUAAUAUUAUUAUCAUGUUGGACCUGUAAACUUAAUAUUCUAUGUCUGUUUGAUGGAUUGGAUGAGGGAGCUGAGCUCCCAUUUCUUUUA